rnacentral:sRNA from 1 species
GUUAUGGGCGUGCGCAACUGCCUCGACGGCAAUCAUAUGUCAGGACAACGCGAUAUCCCCCCUGAAAUCGGGGAACAGCCCGAGCAACCACCUUUGGAGGCCCCAGGGGCAGCUGCCCCCGGUGCUGGGCCUAGCCCAGCCGAAGAGAUGGAGACCGAACCGCCUCACAACGAGCCCAUCCCCAUCGAGAAUGACGGCGAGGUCUGUGGACCCCCAGAGGUCUCCAGACCCAACUUUCAGGUCCUCAACCCGGCAUUCAGGGAAGCUGGAGCCCAUGGAAGCUACAGCCCACCUCCUGAGGAAGCAAUGCCCUUCGAGGUUGAACAGACCAGCUUGGGAAGCUUCUGGCCUACACUGGAGCAGCCUGGAUUCCCCAGUGGGGCCCAUGCAGGCCUUGAGGCCUUCGGCCCAGCACUCAUGGAGCCCGGAGCCUUCAGUGGUGCCAGACCAGGCCUGGGAGGAUACAGCCCUCCACCAGAAGAAGCUAUGCCCUUUGAGUUUGACCAGCCUGCCCAGAGAAGCUGCAGUCAACUUCUCUCACAGGUCCCAGACCUUGCUCCAGGAGGCCCAGGUGCUGCAGGGGUCCCCGGAGCUCCUCCCGAGGAGCCCCAAGCCUUCGGGCCUGCAAAGGCUGACUCCAGAGGAGGCUACAGCCCUCCCCCUGAGGAGACUAUGCCAUUUGAGCUUGAUGGAGAAGGAUUUGGAGACGACAGCCCACCCCCGGGGCUUUCCGGAGUUAUCGCACAAGUCGACGGCAGCGGCCAGUUCGCGGCAGUCGCGGCCUCGAGUGCGGUCCGCCUCACUCCCGCCGCGAACGCGCCUCCCCUCUGGGUCCCAGGCGCCAUCGGCAGCCCAUCCCGAGAGGCUGUCAGACCUCCUUCUAACUUCACGGGCAGCAGCCCCUGGAUGGAGAUCUCCGGACCCCCGCUCGAGAUUGGCAGCGCCCCCGCUGGGGUCGACGACACUCCCGUCAACAUGGACAGCCCCCCAAUCGCGCUUGACGGCCCGCCCAUCAAGGUCUCCGGAGCCCCAGAUAAGAGAGAGCGAGCAGAGAGACCCCCAGUUGAGGAAGAAGCAGCAGAGAUGGAAGAAGCCGCUGAUGCCGCGGAGGGAGGAAAAGUCCCCUCUCCGGGGUACGGAUCCCCUGCCGCCGGGGCAGCCUCAGCGGAUGCCGCCGCUGGGGCAGCCUCAGCGGAUACCGCUGCCAGGGCAGCCCCUGCAGCCCCAGCCGAUCCUGACUCCGGGGCAGCCCCAGAAGAUCCCGACUCCGGGACAGCACCAGCCGAUCCUGACUCCGGGGCAGCCCCAGCCGAUCCCGACUCCGGGGCAGCCCCUGCCGCCCCAGCCGAUCCCGACUCCGGGGCGGCCCCUGACGCCCCAGCCGAUCCCGACUCCGGGGCGGCCCCUGACGCCCCAGCCGAUCCCGACUCCGGGGCGGCCCCUGACGCCCCAGCCGAUCCCGACUCCGGGGCGGCCCCUGACGCCCCAGCCGAUCCCGACUCCGGGGCGGCCCCUGACGCCCCAGCCGAUGCCGACUCCCGGGCAGCCCCUGUCGCCCCAGCUGCGCCAGACGCAGGGGCUCCCACUGCCCCAGCCGCUUCUGCCACCCGGGCAGCCCAAGUCCGCCGGGCGGCCUCCGCAGCCCCUGCCUCCGGGGCCAGACGCAAGAUCCAUCUCAGACCCCCCAGCCCCGAGAUCCAGGCUGCCGAUCCGCCUACUCCGCGGCCUACUCGCGCGUCUGCCUGGCGGGGCAAGUCCGAGAGCAGCCGCGGCCGCCGCGGGUACUACGAUGAAGGGGCGGCCAGCAGCGACGAUGACUCCAGCGGAGACGAGUCCGACGAUGGGACCUCCGGAUGCUUCCGCUGGUUUCAGCAUCGGCGAAAUCGCCGCCGCCGAAAGCCCCAGCGCAACUUACUCCGCAACUUCCUCGUGCAAGCCUUCGGGGGCUGCUUCGGUCGAUCUGAGAGUCCCCAGCCCAAAGCCUCGCGCUUUUUCAAGGUCAAGAAGGUACCCCUGGCGGAGAAGCGCAGACAGAUGCGCAAAGAAGCCCUGGAGAAGCGGGCCCAGAAGCGCGCAGAGAAGAAACGCAGUAAGCUCAUCGACAAACAACUCCAGGACGAAAAGAUGGGCUACAUGUGUACGCACCGCCUGCUGCUUCUAGUCCGCCCCGCGCGCUCCUUGCCGAGGAGCCGAGCCCGCGCCCGGCCCGCCCGCCCGGCGCUGCCCCGGCCCUCCCGGCCCGCGUGAGGCCGCCCGCGCCCGCCGCCGCCGCAGCCCGGCCGCGCCCCGCCGCCGCCGCCGCCGCCAUGGGCUGCCUCGGGAACAGUAAGACCGAGGACCAGCGCAACGAGGAGAAGGCGCAGCGUGAGGCCAACAAAAAGAUCGAGAAGCAGCUGCAGAAGGACAAGCAGGUCUACCGGGCCACGCACCGCCUGCUGCUGCUGGGUGCUGGAGAAUCUGGUAAAAGCACCAUUGUGAAGCAGAUGAGGAUCCUGCAUGUUAAUGGGUUUAAUGGAGAGGGCGGCGAAGAGGACCCGCAGGCUGCAAGGAGCAACAGCGAUGGUGAGAAGGCAACCAAAGUGCAGGACAUCAAAAACAACCUGAAAGAGGCGAUUGAAACCAUUGUGGCCGCCAUGAGCAACCUGGUGCCCCCCGUGGAGCUGGCCAACCCCGAGAACCAGUUCAGAGUGGACUACAUUCUGAGUGUGAUGAACGUGCCUGACUUUGACUUCCCUCCCGAAUUCUAUGAGCACGCCAAGGCUCUGUGGGAGGAUGAAGGAGUGCGUGCCUGCUACGAACGCUCCAACGAGUACCAGCUGAUUGACUGUGCCCAGUACUUCCUGGACAAGAUCGAUGUGAUCAAGCAGGCUGACUAUGUGCCGAGCGAUCAGGACCUGCUUCGCUGCCGCGUCCUGACUUCUGGAAUCUUUGAGACCAAGUUCCAGGUGGACAAAGUCAACUUCCACAUGUUUGACGUGGGUGGCCAGCGCGACGAACGCCGCAAGUGGAUCCAGUGCUUCAACGAUGUGACUGCCAUCAUCUUCGUGGUGGCCAGCAGCAGCUACAACAUGGUCAUCCGGGAGGACAACCAGACCAACCGCCUGCAGGAGGCUCUGAACCUCUUCAAGAGCAUCUGGAACAACAGAUGGCUGCGCACCAUCUCUGUGAUUCUGUUCCUCAACAAGCAAGAUCUGCUCGCUGAGAAAGUCCUUGCUGGGAAAUCGAAGAUUGAGGACUACUUUCCAGAAUUUGCUCGCUACACUACUCCUGAGGAUGCUACUCCCGAGCCCGGAGAGGACCCACGCGUGACCCGGGCCAAGUACUUCAUUCGAGAUGAGUUUCUGAGGAUCAGCACUGCCAGUGGAGAUGGGCGUCACUACUGCUACCCUCAUUUCACCUGCGCUGUGGACACUGAGAACAUCCGCCGUGUGUUCAACGACUGCCGUGACAUCAUUCAGCGCAUGCACCUUCGUCAGUAUGAGCUGCUCUAAGAAGGGAACCCCCAAAUUUAAUUAAAGCCUUAAGCACAAUUAAUUAAAAGUGAAACGUAAUUGUACAAGCAGUUAAUCACCCACCAUAGGGCAUGAUUAACAAAGCAACCUUUCCCUUCCCCCGAGUGAUUUUGCGAAACCCCCUUUUCCCUUCAGCUUGCUUAGAUGUUCCAAAUUUAGAAAGCUUAAGGCGGCCUACAGAAAAAGGAAAAAAGGCCACAAAAGUUCCCUCUCACUUUCAGUAAAAAUAAAUAAAAUAACAGCAGCAAACAAACAGAAAUAAAAUGAAAUAAAAGAAACAAAUGAAAUAAAUAUUGUGUUGUGCAGCAUUAAAAAAAAUCAAAAUAAAAAUUAAAUGUGAGCAAAGAA